rnacentral:rRNA from 1 species
UACGAAGGGGGCUAGCGUUGUUCGGAAUCACUGGGCGUAAAGGGCGCGUAGGCGGCUGUUCAAGUCGGGGGUGAAAUCCUGUGGCUCAACCACAGAAUGGCCUUCGAUACUGGACGGCUAGAGACCGGAAGAGGUGAGUGGAACUGCGAGUGUAGAGGUGAAAUUCGUAGAUAUUCGCAAGAACACCAGUGGCGAAGGCGGCUCACUGGUCCAUUACUGACGCUGAGGUGCGAAAGCGUGGGGAGCAAACAGG